UACACCGCACUAAUACUGGAUUCGAAUGGCUGUUCUCGCGUCGUGCACGUCCUAGUCAUAGCCAGGCGGUUUGCACACGGCACGUGUCCGUCGGAACGUCAGUGCUGUUGACGACAACGUACGCGGCGGCAGAGGGAGAGUGGACAGCCGCCUUCCGCCAGCGGGGGUGUUACAACUAUACGCUUCGAGGCGGUUCGAGGCGGACGAACCUGUUCGAGUCUAACGGCGGAGAUUCCUCGCGACGGUCACCGGUGACCGACGCUCGCCCCGCUGACGGUCACCGGUGACCGGCGCUCGGUGGACACCGUGGAACACGCCGAACGUUUCCCAUUGAAUUUCUUUCCGUAUGUACCAGUCGGUAACGUAUUGUACCGGGUGUCUGUGGUAUCGAGGAUUUCAGAAUAAGGAGGAAUUGGUUAAUUGUAUUUCGAAUUAUCGGUGAUCAAAUCAAUGUCACAGUCAUGAUCGCUAAGAAAAUUACGCUUCAAGAGGUUCAAAACAGCCUUUCACGCGUGGACUGCCAAUGUUGAACUUUCAAAUUGCUUGGGAACAGUGACAAUAAGGAAAUUUAUGUCGAAUGAAGAUAUUUAUUAACAUAAACAACUGUAUAAUAGUAAGGAAUAAGAAUUAUUGUAGAAAACAGUCGAAAUUCUCGUGGCAGUCAACGCGUUGAUGAUUCUGAAUUCAAGAAGAGCCACUUGGAAGCCGUCGUCAUCAUCAAGUUUCAAAUGUCCGGAUAAAUUUACGGUGGUAUCUUAUAAAGCUAUCAAUUUCAGGAACCGCGGUUUAUUUUAACGCUGCUUUGUCCUGCAACAAAGAACAACAAGGUCUCGGGAUCAGAAAGCGUUUCUGUUAAAUUAGCCAGCAGUUUGUCAUCUAACAUUCCAAGGGAUCAACGAAAAUUCUGUCAUGUUUAUUCGAGCGAAAUGCGACGAUGCGUUUUAUAUUUACAUUUUUGAUGGGCCGUGUCGUUGAUGGAUGCUGCGCGUCGAAACGACGCGAUGGCGCGAUGUUUGAACUGUUCUUCUUUUUGAGAGCGGUGUAAGUCGAUUUUUGGGAGAAGUGAGUUAAUGAGAAUUUUAAUGAGAAUUAUGAUAGCAAUGAUGUAUAGUAUCUUCGUAAAAUAAUCGAAAUUUUAACUAAAAUUUUGUAACAGAAAUGUUUCUUUUAAGUGGUAUAAGUCGAUUUUUGGCAGAAGUGAGUUAAUGAGAAUUUUAAUGAGAAUUAUGAUAGCAAUGAUGUACAGUAUCUUCGUAAAAUAAUUAAAAUUUUAACUGGAGAAUUUUGUAACAAGAAUGUUUUUUUUUAAGUGGUGUAAGUCUAUUUUUGGACA